rnacentral:rRNA from 1 species
CCUACGGGUGGCAGCAGUAGGGAAUAUUGCUCAAUGGGGGAAACCCUGAAGCAGCAACGCCGCGUGGAGGAUGAAGGUUUUCGGAUUGUAAACCCCUUUUGUUAGAGAAGAUAAUGACGGUAUCUAACGAAUAAGCACCGGCUAACUCCGUGCCAGCAGCCGCGGUAAUACGGAGGGUGCAAGCGUUAUUCGGAAUUACUGGGCGUAAAGAGCGCGUAGGCGGGAUAGCAAGUCAGAAGUGAAAUCCUAUGGCUUAACCAUAGAACUGCAUUGGAAACUGUAAUUCUAGAGUGCGGGAGAGGUAAGUGGAAUUCUUGGUGUAGCGGUGAAAUGCGUAGAGAUCAAGAGGAACACCAAUUGCGAAGGCGGCCUACUGGAACGUAACUGACGCUGAUGCGCGAAAGCGUGGGGAGCAAACAGGAUUAGAUACCCCAGUAGUC